rnacentral:rRNA from 1 species
AGCAGCCGCGGUAAUUCCAGCUCCAAUAGCGUAUAUUAAAGCUGUUGCAGUUAAAAAGCUCGUAGUUGAAUUUCGGGGUCAGUAGGUCGGUCGUGCCACAGGUAUGUACUGGUCUCACUGAUUCCUCCUUCCUGAUGAACCGUAAUGCCAUUAAUUUGGUGUUGCGGGGAAACUGGACUGUUACUUUGAAAAAAUUAGAGUGUUUAAAGCAGGCUAACGCUUGAAUACAUUAGCAUGGAAUAAUGAAAUAGGACGUUCGAUCUUAUUUUGUUGGUUUCUAGGAUUGACGUAAUGAUUAAUAGGGAUAGUUGGGGGCAUUAGUAUUCAAUUGUCAGAGGUGAAAUUCUUGGAUUUAUUGAAGACUAACUACUGCGAAAGCAUUUGCCAAGGAUGUUUUCAUUAAUCAAGAACGAAAGUUAGGGGAUCGAAGACGAUCAGAUACCGUCGUAGUCUUAACCAUAAACUAUGCCGACUAGGGAUCGGAUGAUGUUAAUUUUAUAAUGACUCAUUCGGCGCCUUA